GUUCUGAUCCAAAACAGCUGCCAUACAUAUAAUUUAUCAUCAAGCAUUCUCAAAAGCACGAUGUUGUCAGUUUGCGCCUAAUUAGCCAUUAUCUACUAGUGGUGGUCUGUACUGGUAAGGUAUGCUUUGUAACUUCUGUUAGUGGGUCUCUCAACACCUUCUCUUGUCAUUUUUAUUGGAAACCCCAAAAGAAGAAGCUUAAACAUAGUUUCUCAAUACCAUCGCCCAUCUCUAUUUCCAGUAAACGAUAACCCUAAUCCCUUUCAUCAAUUUCUUAUCUACGUAAAAGGAGAUCUCUUAACUAUCUUUACAGGGUUUUUUUCUCUUGGAAAAAUAUGGGAUCCCUUAAUUCUUUUACUUCAGUCUAGGGUUCCAUAUCCUUUACUUCAAUCCUUAUCUCUCGAUCACUCACUAUUCAUCUCGGUUGCUCUAAAAAUUUUCAAUUCAGGUUUUUGUGUACAUAAAUCAAGAUUUAAAAGCUCUUUAUCUACUGCCAUCAUAUUAUGGUCCUUAGUUACUUGAUUUGGUUCAUGAUGGUGGUCGCGAAGAUUUGAAGCAUGUGAUUUCGGACAAGGUACAAUUUGUCGUUUUUUUAGUGUAAACCCUAGUUUAUGAUCUGGUUUACCUCAAUUUUUCUAUCUAGGUUUGUUUUUCUUCAAUAUUUACUUGUAGGAAUCCCUAGUUUUAAACAGACACAUUAUUGUUCAGUUUUUCUAUUGAUUGAUCUCAUACGAUUUCAAGCUUGUCAUUCACUGGGUGUGGGACCUUUGUAUUUGAUACCUCAAGGUAAUUUUGUAAGUUUUUCUUUGGUUCGCAUGUAAUAGUGUGUGAUUUAAUUAAUGAUUGUGAUAGUGUGUGAUUUGAUUAAUGAUAAGUGAAAUUUGAACCAGAGUUUGGUGGUAAACAAAUUGGUGGUUUCAUGUUUCUGUACUAGUGGUUUAGUUGUAUCUGGUUUUUAGUGUGACUUCUUUUAUAAUUGUAUUCAAGGAACUUGAUGAGGAAGAAGAGAUUAGUUAUGGGUAUGGGCAACCACAGAGGAGGAAAGACUUUGGUGAUCGUUUUACGUGUUCUUGGAUUUUGGCAAGUACUUAGUCUCUUGAGCAACAUUGUGUUAUCUCUCUUUUAUUAUUAUGCUGAAUUCAAAUUAAUGUUCACAGUUGAAUUUCAAGAGGUUAUUUUCCUCAAAAGAACACUAGUUCCCUUUUGUGUAGAUGACUUCACUCCUCUGUCUAAGAAAAGUGAUGUCAUUUCAAUAGUUCGGUUACAUCAAUUAUCUUCUCAAAUACUCUCUUUGUUGAUAUGAAGAAUUCUAUUAGAUGCACUAGAUGAAAUGCUAUUUGUGGAAGGACUUCCUAGUUGACUGAAAACCGAGGUCAGUUUUAGACCAACUCCCAACAAAACAUUCAUUUACACUAUUGGAAAAUUGCGUCUCUCACUGGAAAAUUGCAUCAUAAGGUGCAACUCGAUUGUGAUGACCAGAAUCGACAUAGUAGAGACAAUCAAACUCAACAACUCUAUGCUGAUUGCAUUAGUGUUGCUAUUAAAAUCUCAGAAAUUCAACUGGACAGAGCAUUGGGAUACACAAAAAUGGGAGGAUAAAGAAUGGUUAUGGGCAGAACUUAAGGAACAACAUGGUUUCCGGAUCUACAACUACAAUUGUUAUUAUAGUUGAUUGUCAAAUAUUGGUUGCCAGUCUGGAGACUCAAAAGCUCAAUUAUAUUCAGAAAAAUACAAGUCUGCAAAAGAAAUUAAAGCUAGAUUUUUGAGGACCAUGGAAAAGGAAGGAUGUGAUGGAGAUCGAAGGGCAUGUUUCCUCAAGUUUGAGGAAACAUAAGCUUACCUCUUCCUACUCAGGUAUCUAUUCAAUCGGUUUUUGUUGAGGUCAGGUAUUCGGUCACCCACACGAAUAAUCUACCUCAAAUUCCAUUUUUCGUAAGUUUAAAUUAUGAUGUUACCUCUAUUACCUCUACAUCGAUUUUAUUCUUGUACCGAUACAAAUGUAUGGUUAGCCUCUAGUGUCUCUUCUGUUUCCUUCCAAGAAAAUAAUUAAUGGCGACUAUUUUGUAUUCUUUCUUCAGUGGAAGUCCGAGCACGUUGGAGAGAUUAUGGAAGUACCAUAAAAAUGGACAAACCAUGUUCAACCGUAGGUGACAUGAUAUCAUAGGAUUGUUGGUCCAGAACGGGGAAAUGAAACACGGAAAAAGUAGAUUUCAACCAACGUAGAUUUCAGACACGGAUAUUAUAGCUUACAAUUUCCUUGUAAUUGAAUUAUAUAUGUCGUUUGUACUUUGUACAUUAAAUUGUAGUUAAGCUAUUUGGUUCGGAAAUUCUAGUUCCGUACUAACUUACUUGUAUUAUCAAUUUAUUAUGUUUGAUCACGAUUUUAAAAAUCACCUA